UGGGGUACUUGAGGUAGAUAUAUACAUGAAGUACCAGAUCAACGUACACAGGUAUGGGGUACUUGAGGUAGAUAUAUACAUGAAGUACUAGAUCAACAUACACAGGUAUGGGAUACUUGAGGUAGAUAUAUACAUAAAGUACUAGAUCAACAUACACAGGUAUGGGGUACCUGAGGUAGAUAUAUACAUAAAGUACUAGAUCAAUGUACACAGGUAUGGGGUACUUGAGGUAGAUAUAUACAUGAAGUACCAGAUCAACGUACACAGGUAUGGGGUACUUGAGGUAGAUAUAUACAUGAAGUACUAGAUCAACAUACACAGGUAUGGGGUAUUUGAGGUAGAUAUAUAUACAUGAAGUACCAGAUCAACGUACACAGGUACGGGGUACUUGAGGUAGAUAUAUACAUGAAGUACCAGAUCAACAUACACAGGUAUGGGGUACUUGAGGUAGAUAUAUACAUGAAGUACCAGAUCAACGUACACAGGUAUGGGGUACUUGAGGUAGAUAUAUACAUGAAGUACCAGAUCAACAUACACAGGUAUGGGAUACCUGAGGUAGAUAUAUACAUGAAGUACCAGAUCAACAUACACAGGUAUGGGGUACUUGAGGUAGAUAUAUACAUGAAGUACCAGAUCAACAUACACAGGUAUGGGGUACUUGAGGUAGAUAUAUACAUGAAGUACCAGAUCAACAUACACAGGUAUGGGGUACUUGAGGUAGAUAUAUACAUGAAGUACCAGAUCAACAUACACAGGUAUGGGGUACUUGAGGUAGAUAUAUACAUGAAGUACCAGAUCAACAUACACAGGUAUGGGGUACCUGAGGUAGAUAUAUACAUGAAGUACCAGAUCAACAUACACAGGUAUGGGGUACUUGAGGUAGAUAUAUACAUGAAGUACCA